CGUGUAGGCGGCUCGGUAAGUCCGCUCUGAAAGCCCGGGGCUCAACCCCGGGAGGCGGGCGGAUACUGUCGGGCUAGAGUCCGGAAGAGGCGAGUGGAAUUCCUGGUGUAGCGGUGAAAUGCGCAGAUAUCAGGAGGAACACCAAUGGCGAAGGCAGCUCGCUGGGACGGUACUGACGCUGAGACGCGAAAGCGUGGGGAGCAAACAGGAUUAGAUACCCUGGUAGUCCACGCCGUAAACGAUGGGCACUAGGUGUGGGGGGUGUCGACUCCCUCCGUGCCGACGCUAACGCAUUAAGUGCCCCGCCUGGGGAGUACGGCCGCAAGGCUAAA
rnacentral:rRNA from 1 species